UACGUAGGCAGCGAGCGUUGUUCGGAGUUACUGGGCGUAAAGAGUGCGUAGGCGGUUUUCUAAGUUUGGUGUGAAAUCUCCCGGCUUAACUGGGAGGGUGCGCCGAAGACUGGAAGGCUUGAGUAUGGGAGAGGUAAGCGGAAUUCCUGGUGUAGCGGUGAUAUGCGUAGAUAUCAGGAGGAACACCUGCGGUGUAGACGGCUUACUGGACCAUAACUGACGCUGAGGCACGAAAGCGUGGGUAGCAAACAGG
rnacentral:rRNA from 1 species